GUCCCAGACAAAGGAAAACACAGCAUCCUGAAUAUAAAUUGAUGUUUCAAAACAGGAAGCAGAUUUUCUGCACUGUGAGAACUACCCCCCUGCCUUCCCCACACAAACUGCAGACACACAUACACAUUGAGGAUCUCUCCCAACUAGUUCCUGCUUUGAUGACCCAGGAACCACUUCAGCUCGAUCACACCUUUUGACCUCUCCAGCUGGCAGUGUUACCUACAGUACCAGAGAGCAGAUUCUUGUCUGUCCAUAAUCCAAUUCAAGGGAGUCUUGAGCCUGCCCAACCUUUGAUAUCUUGACUGUGGAACACAUUCACCUGCAGACUCACUGGCCUUCAUGGUGACCCGGCCCAGGGAAGACUCACUUUUCAAUGUGUAGAGAAUGACGGAUUGUCUAUGGAUUUCUAUUUUCUCAUUUGGGGUUGGGGAGUGCUGGGGCAAUGAGCAACGAACUGUUCAGGACCACAGCAAAGCUUUUUGAAGCUGCUCCGUCAUUAGUUCCCCUGGUUUUACUUUUUACUUGUAUCGAUUUAUUAAAUCUGGUAUCUAAUUUUAAAGUAAUAACGGACAUGCAGGUUGAGGACUCGGGUCAGAAUUUAAUCAAACUGCGGUAAAUGUAUGAUUGCUGUGGUUUUUAGGGCCUAAAACCAACUGUAUGGUGGUUAUAAAGCAGACCAACCUUCAACUUUCUAUUUUUCGAUGGGCAUGGUCGAGCCAGGUCUCCAAGCAUGAGACGUUCACGUUGAGCACUAUGCAUGUUUGUUUUCUGGUUACCGCUGUGUGGUUUGCUUUAAAGACAGGAGAUACAGUUUCCUCUUAGUCAUGCAAAUGACUAAUAUGUUACAUGGUUUGAUCCAAUUCUGACCCUAAACAAUCUAACUUGCCCUGAACCACAUGUCAAACACGAUGUACUGAGGGCAGUGUCUGCAGGUUUUUAUUCCACUCUUGUACUUUAUUGAUGAAUUAAGGUCAAUGAUUAUUAAGGAACUCCACUCAACUGGUUGCCUUGGUCUUAAUUGAAAGGAAAAACCUGCACACACUAGGCCCUCCAUGGAAGGAGUUUGACACCCCUGCCCUAAAAUGAUCUAACUUACAUUGUUACUUUUGUUUUUGCUUUUCUCAUAACCUAUUUAUUAAAAUAUCUAAUUGCUUUGUUAGCCAAUUAUCAACUUUUUUUAUAUAUAUACUUGCUUUUGGGUUUGCUUUUGUGACUUUACAGUGUGUUGUUUUUGAAGAUGAAAAUUAACAGCCUUAAAUGAUUUCAGUCUUACAUUGGUUUCUGUGUGGUUAUUGUCUUACUUCCAACUUUUCAAUGUAAUUACUGCCAUCAUGUAGUACAAAUCUGAUACCAAGAUUGAAGAACACUGGCC
ensembl:lncRNA